rnacentral:rRNA from 1 species
CCUACGGGAGGCAGCCGUGGGGAAUAUUGGACAAUCGGCGCAAGCCUGAUCCAGCCAUGCCGCGUGAGUGAUGAAGGCCCUAGGGUUGUAAAGCUCUUCACCGGUGAAGAUAAUGACGUA